CACAAAGCUAGGCAGAAGGAGAUUCAGGAGGACUGGGAGCUGGCGGAGUGACUCCAGCGGGAGGAAGAAGAGGCCUUUGCCAGCAGUCAGAGCAGCCAAGGGGCCCAAUCCCUCACAUUCUCCAAGUUUGAAGGAAAGAAAACCAACGAGAAGACCCGCAAGAUUACCACAGUGAAGAAAUCUUCAGUACGUCUUCCAGGGUCGGAUCAAAG
rnacentral:lncRNA from 1 species